AGGAAGGGAGGGGCAGGCCUUAAUGAGUGCUGAGUCAUGGAGCCACACCCCAUGGCCUAUAUAAAGGAUCUGCUUUCUGGCAGUCUCUGAGUCAGGCAAAAGUCGAACUUAUCUUGCUGAAGUCACUUACUGGUCUCCUGCCUGCUCUGAGGACUUUGCUAGGACUUUGGGCAGAGCUGCAGAGGCAAGCCUGAUUCGGAUUUCCCUGACCCGGCCGUCAGCGGAGGAGCGGGACACGACACCCACCCACCCGGGUUUCAUUACUUCCUGGUUUUAAUGAAGCGAGUGCACACGCACAACACGUGCACUUCCAAGCUGGUAAGGAAGCCGGGCCCCUCCCAUCUCCAGCCAGGCCUGUUAUCAGACUCCGAGUCUGAUAAUGAAGAUGAAGGCUCCAACCAGGCCUGUCAUGCCUCCAGCCCCCGGCCCUGGCCCCAUGCCCGGAGAGGAUUCCAGGAGUGAACAAACAAGCCCGAUAAACCUCACUCAUAUGACGUGUGUUCCUUUGGCUCAGCCGUCAGAGGAAGCCAGCCAGGGAUUGGAAUUACUCAGGCCUACUCCUUCUGACCCCUCCCUUUCCCAAACAGCAGAAGACAAUUCAAAGUGGGAGGAUCCUUGCUUCUGGAGAUCUGAGAGGCAACACCAGCAGAAGGAAGGGAGGGGCAGGCCUGGAUAAAUGCUGAGUCAUGGAGCCACACCCCACAGUCUAUAUAAAGGACCUGCUUUUGGCAUUCCAACCUUGAGUCAAGCAAAGUCUCAUCUAGUUUGCUGAUAUCGGACUCUAUCACUGAAGUCACAACUUGGACUCCUGCCUGCCCUGAUAAACCUCGAAGGAAUUUGGCAAGCUGCAGAGGCUUCGUUGCCACGUUUGAUACGGACUUCCUUGACCCGGUCAUCGGAGUGGGAGUGGGACAUGACACAGUGGUCCACCAGGGCACCUAGAUCCUUGUCACAGGCAGGGACUACUGUUGAACCAGGUGUUUUUCUAAGAGGCAACUGGAUUUCCGGAGGAAAAACUACAGGAACCAGGAGCAGGUGACCCUGAGGACACAGAUAAACCUCCAAGUGCUUCAAAGACCCUCUAAAAGCAUGCAAAUGACCAUCUGUCUGCAAGGAGUAUAAAUUCUUCUAUUCUUUACUGUCCUGUCAGAUCUGAAGAAGCUUCUUGGAUGAGAAGUGAAAUGUCUUCAAAAAGAAAAAUGAGAAUGUCCAGUUGCCACCUAAAAAAAACACCUUUGGGACAACCAUGACCUGGAUGACUGAGAAUCUCUACAGACCUUUAGCUAUACAAUUUGGGAUGGACAACCUUUGAAUGGUGUGGAAGUAGGAAUGGAUUUCCAGAGAAAAAAAUGCAGACUACAGGAACCAGGAGCACUACUUAGAUGACCCUGAGGACACAGAUAAACUUCCAAGUGCUUCAAUCACCCUCUAAAAGGAUGCAAAUGACCAGCUGUUUGCAAGGAAUAUAAAUCCUUCCAUUUCCCACUAUCCUGUCAGAGCUGAAGAAGCUUCUUGGCUGAGAAGUGAAACGUCUUCAAAAGGAAAAACAAGAUUGUCCAGUUGCCUCCUGAAAAAGCACCUUUGGGACAACCAUGACCUGGAUGACUGAGAAUCUCUACAGAUUUUCUUCUUCUGUAGCAUUUUUUUGUUCGGAAUUUUAUUAUCUCAUUUUUAGACUUUGUUCAGUUUCUCUUGCCUGCAUUUAUGCUAAAUUCUACCAUAUGACAUGGUCACUCUCUCCCAAAGUUCCUACCACUUCCUCAAGCACUUGAUGCCUAUUAAUAAGUAUAGUUGAUCUCUAGGUCUCACAUCAACCUUUCGGACAAUAAACUUGUCAGUUAUGCACAUUAAGAACCUAUUCAGUGUCCCAUUUGCUGCUUCCCAAUUGAUGACAGUAUAGUUAAAUUCCAAUUUACUACUGAAUUAUGUCACAGUUUUGACCACUAGAUAGGCUUUUUCUAUCGCCAUGCCAUGGAAAUGUGAUUGCUCCAUUUGGAUAUUGGGCGUCUCCCUUCUUGACCACAUCACACCAUUCGACAACAUUAAGAUGGGAGAAGGCCAUGGACAUGUCCAGACCGCAGAACCUUCCACUGUGGCCAAGACUGCCUACCAAGUAGAAAUCAAUGGCUCGUGGGUGCCCAAAACAGAGAUGGCAAGACACCAUCAACAAAGAUAUGCAAGCCGUGGGCCUGCACCCUGGAGACACAGCUGACCAUGCAAAGUGGUGCUCAAUGAUCCGAAAAGUGGAUCCUGCACCUGCGGGAAUAUGCUAGGAGGAGGAGGAGGAGGAAAAGAAAGGCUAUAUCCAUGUGCAUGUAAUUUUGUAUAUCAGAUUUUUAAGAAAAAAAAAGAAGCACACUCUAGAACAUAUAAAGAAAAUGUAGAUUAGCCUUAUGCACAAAAAAGAUUUGGAGCAAUUUUCAAUUAACGAAGUUUCAAGUAGUGCCAUUGUGUUAUAAUGCAAAAACAUAACUUAAAUAUAUGGAUAAUAUCAUUAUCCCUGGCGUUUCUUGGUUUUAUUAGUAAUAUUUUUAAAAAGGAAAAUGAGACAAAUGAGGGGCAGGUUUUGCAAACCUUUUCAUGUAAUUUUUUCCCCAAACUGCUUGUCAUUCAUGAAGCUUUUAAACCUGUUUUUAAAUUAUUAUUUUUAACAAUGUCAUUAAUUUUUUAUAGCACCCUUUUUUCCUAUCUUAAGGCAGAUCAGCAUCAUGCAUGAAAAAUGGAUUAAUCCAUGCCUUGAUGAAAUAAAACAUAACAGGAAUUUUUUCAGAUGCUAAGAGUGUAGCUAAAAAUACUAGUAUUAUUAAAUUAAAUUAAAUGAAUAUAUUAAAAUACUAUGACUAUAAAACCCAAAGGAUAUCCCACAGAAAUUAAAAUUAUGAUAAAAUAUUAAUGGGCCUAUGUUAAUGUCUUUUGGUUAAAUGUUACUUAUUUUUAGUCACAAUUUCUUCUCAUCUCUAAAUUCGCCCCAUUUGAUAUAUAUUCUUUUCAUUCAUUCUUUGUAUAAUUUUCCCUGGUCUACCAGGCACAUAAAGAUAUAUUUGUCAUAGCUAAAAAAAUAUAUGAUAGCAUUGUGUACAUAGUUUCCAGAUGUUCUUGAAAUAAGAUUGAUAUCAGUUAUGCUAAUUAGGGCUGAUAGGGUUUGAGUCCCUAAUUUCCAGAGGCUUGUACCAUCAUAAACCUGAUGAUUGGAAUAGAUGAGGGGUGUCAAACACACAUCACCAUGGUGGUGUCAUGUGACAUAUCAUGGCUUUUUUCUCCUUCGCUAAACUGGGCAUGGGUGUGCCCAGCGCAUGAUGCAUCCGGCUUGUGGGUUGUGAGUCUGACAGCCCUGGAGUAGAUUGUGGAAAAUUCCACAAGAUGAAGUAAAAAGGGAAAAAGAAGAGAGAUAUCAAGCUCAGCAUUUUCAAACUAUUUACUAAAUCUGCACUACUAUUAAUCUUCUCAUUGUUCCCAUCACCAAUCUCUUUCCACUUAUGACUGUAUGACUGUAACUUUGUUGCUGGCAAUCCUUAUGAUUUAUAUUGAUAUUGAUUGUUUCCUGAUUGCUUAUUUGUACCCUAUGACUAUCAUUAAGUGUUGUACCUUAGAAUUCUUGAUGAACACAUCUUUUCUUUUAUGUACCCUGAGAGCGUAUGCACCAAGACAAGUUCCUUGUGUAACCAAUCACACUUUGCCAAUAAAAAAUUCUAUUCUUGCCUCAAAGAUGCUUUUUUCUUCAAAAGGCAACUGGACUGGUUUUUCCUUGCGGAAGAAAAAGUAAAUGCUUCACUUCACAUCCAAGAAGCUUCAUCAGUUCUGAUGACAGAGAGAUGGAAGGAUAGGUACUUAUAGUUGAAACUGAAUGCUGGGGUGGGAGAUGAAAGGAUAGGUUCAAAUGGGAUGAUGAGGAGGAUGGAAUGAUUGUAUUUCUUUGUGGUAAUCUAGCCUUUAGCACUCUCUCUGAGAUGUGUUGAGCAGUGGUGGGUUGCUACCGGUUUGCCCCAGAUUGCCCACUCACCCAGAUGUUUCUGCACAUGUGCAGAAGCAUUGCAUGCAUGCGUGCGUGCACACACCCACGAGUGAGCUGGUAGCAAUGGGUUUUGAAACCCAUCCCUAGUGUUGAGGUUACUUGUGUGUUUAUCUGUGUCCUCAGGUGCUGAAUCAAGGUGCUAUUGGUUUUGGAAUCUUCUUGGAGCAGUCCCAAGGACUGCAUUGUAAAUUGGAGGUAGGUGGUGUUUUAUUCCUCCCUUUCUGUUGGGGGAGAGGUGUUCAAUUCUAACAUAGAUGGAUUAUUUUAAACCUCUUUCAGACCAAGGUCCUCUCUAUCCGAAAUGUAGACUUCUUUCUUCUCCAUCAAGGAAAAAAACAAUCUGGUUGCCUUUUGAAGAAAUAAAAAAAAAAACCUGUUGUGGCCAGCCAGUUGCCAGCGGACCUGAUGACAGACUCAGACGAUAAGGAGGUUGGGGAGGAACUUGGGCCAGUGAUGGAGUUUGGGGAAAGCUCUGUUCUAUCUCUGCGUCGGACACAGAGAUAGAACAAGGGCCAUCCAACAUUUCCCAGCCACCGGAGAGGCAGCUGCCUUUGGAGACUGAUAUAAUGUGAGUGAGGAGGGAGAACAGCUGGGGCUUGUUCCAGAUGCACCAGAGGUAGGUUUCAGCAGGUUCUGACCAGUUCUGGAGAACCGGUGGCAGAAAUUUUGAGUAGUUCAGAGAACCAGUAGUAAAAAUUCUGACUGGCCCCGCUCCCAUCUAUUCUUACCUCCCAAGUCCCAGCUAAUUGGGAGGAAAUGGGGAUUUUGCAGUAAUCUUCCCCUCGAUUGGGAAGGGAAUGGAGAUUUUACAGUAUCCUUCCCCUGCCAUGCCCACCAAGCCACACCCACAGAACCGGUAGUAAAAAAAAUUGAAACCUACCACUGAGAUGCAUGUAUGCGCAGAGCAGUUAGAAGAUGUGAGCAAUGGGAGAUAAGGAGUCAACUCAGGAAGCAAAGUACAUGUGGACACUGAAUGACCCAACACUGGCUGGGGAAUAAAUAGAAGGAAAGGGAGUGGUUGUCGUAGGAGACAACAGUUCGUAUUUCUGAAGAUUUUGCUCAUUGUGUUUCAUGCCACAAAAACUGCUUGCCAGAACUUAAUUUUCAGCCUUUCUGCUGGGAGCUCACUGCCUUACAAUUAUCGCAAGGAACUGAUAAGAUCUGUACUGCAGUUAACUCCUUGAAGGACUAUUGCCUGGACUUUUUGGUGGGUGAAUGCAAUUAAUUCACAAGAGGUAAAUAAAGAGGAUUUUUUUGUGACAAGGAGUCUGUUUUUUGCUUCUGCUAAGGCUGGGUCAGAACAACACCUUUGAGACAACUAUGAUCUGGAUGAUUGAGAAUCUCCACAGACAUGAUGUCAAGCUUGGUUUGAUCUGUCAUAUAAUUUAACAGUAUAACAUCAUG